rnacentral:rRNA from 1 species
CAGCCGCCGCGGGAAUACGUAGGGUGCAAGCGUUAAUCGGAAUUACUGGGCGUAAAGCGUGCGCAGGCGGUUUGUUAAGACAGACGUGAAAUCCCCGGGCUCAACCUGGGAACUGCAUUUGUGACUGGCAAGCUAGAGUCUGGCAGAGGGGGGUGGAAUUCCGCGUGUAGCAGUGAAAUGCGUAGAUAUGCGGAGGAACACCGAUGGCGAAGGCAGCCCCCUGGGCCAACACUGACGCUCAUGCACGAAAGCGUGGGGAGCAAACAGGAUUAGAUACCCGCGUAGUCCCUGUCUCUUAUAC